UUACGAGGAUCAAGCUUUCGACAACUCUGAGAAUCUUGCAGGCAAGAUGACCACCCCUCGAAAUCACUUCUAUCUUUGCUAUGCUAGUUGUUCGCUCUAUUGCCAUGCUCCGCUACCUAUCACUUGCUAUAUCAUGUCUCCUAUUUUAGCCAUGUCAGCCUCUAACCAUCCUUUCCUAGCAAACCGUUGUUUGGCUAUGUUACCGCUUUUGCUCAGCCCCUCUUAUAGCGUUGCUAGUUGCAGGUGAAGUCGAAGUUUGUUCCAUGUUGGAACAUGGAUAUGUUGGGAUAUUACAAUAUCUCUUAUUUAAUUAAUGCAUCUAUAUAUUUGGUAAAGGGUGGAAGGCUCGGCAUUAUGCCUGGUGUUUUGUUCCACUCUUGCCGCCCUAGUUACUGUUAUACCGGGAUUAUGUUCCUUGAGUUUGCGUUCCUUACGCGGUCGGGUGAUUUAUGGGACCCCCUUGAUAGUUCGCCUUGAAUAAAACUCCUCCAGCAAGGCCCAACCUUGGUUUUACCAUUUGCGACCUAUACCUUUUUCCCCCGGGUUUUCUAGAGCCCGAGGGUCAUCUUUAUUUUAAACCCCCGGGCCAGUGCUCCUCUGAGUAUUGGUCCAAACUGUCAGUCGCCGGUGGCCACCAGGGGCAACUCUGGGCUGGCCUAUCGGAAGCUUGGACAAUCCGGUGUGCCCUGAGAACGAGAUAUGUGCAGCUCCUAUCGGGAUUUGUCGGCACAUUCGGGCGGCUUUGCUGGUCUUGUUUUACCAUUGUCGAGAUGUCUUGUAAACCGGGAUUCCGAGACUGAUCGGGUCUUUCCGGGAGAAGGUUUAUCCUUCGUUGACCGUGAGAGCUUAUGAUGGGCUAAGUUGGGACACCCCUGCAGGGUAUUAUCUUUCGAAAGCCGUGCCCGCGGUUAUGAGGCAGAUGGGAAUUUGUUAAUGUCCGGUUGUAGAUAACUUGUCACUUGACCCAAUUAAAAUACAUCCACUGCGUGUGUAGCCGUGAUGGUCUCUUCUCGGCGGAGUCCGGGAAGUGAACACGGUCUGUGUUAUGAAUGACGUAAGUAGGUGUUCAGGACCUCUUCUUGGUCAUUGCUAGAUGACGUCCGUUCCAUUGCUUCUCUUCUCGCUCUCAUUUGCGUAAGUUAGCCACCAUACAUGCUUUUGCCGCUGCAGCUCCACCUCUUUGCACCUCCUUGUCCUAUAAGCUUAAAUAGUCUUGAUCUCGCGGGUGUGAGAUUGCUGAGUCCCGUGACUCACAGAUACUUCCAAAACAGUUGCAGGUGCCGACGAUGCCAGUGCAGAUGAUGGCGUCGAUCUCAAGUGGGAGUUCGACGAGGAACGUGGUCGUUAUUAUGUGUCUUUUCCUGAUGAUCAGUAGUGGAGCCCAGUUGGGACGAUCGGGGAUCUAGCAUUUGGGGUUGUCUUAUUUUCAUCUGGAUUUUGACCGUAGUCGGUCUAUAUGAUUGUAUUUUGGAUGAUGUAUUGAGUUAUUUUUAUGUAUUGUGUGAAGUGGCGAUUGUAAGCCAACUCUUUAUCCCAUUCUUUUUCAUUACAUGGGAUUGUGUGAAGAUGACCCUUCUU
rnacentral:lncRNA from 1 species